GAUAGUGCAAAGUAUGAUUCAAAUUGAAAGACUAGUGUGACAGAUUCAAAUUAGGACGGAAUUAUCCGAAUGGGUCCAUACUUCAGAUUUGUCAAACACAACAACGGAUUUAUAAAUAAAAAAAAAAAAAAAAAAGGCCAAAAAAAAAAGGGAAGGUAAAUUACACUUAUUACACACAGAACUCUCUUAUUACACUGACGCCCCUUAUUAAAUAGAGCAAAAAAAUCGACCUGUAAGAUCUGGUGUGUAUAUAUUUUGGUACGAGAUGAAAAUGGCUGAUGUGUUUGAAGAUGUAGCCAAACCCAAAGUUUCAAUCCAAGAGUAGCUAAAGGAUGUUGAGGAACAGGAGUUGGAAUGCUCAAAUAGAAGAGGUUAUAUGAAGAGGCAGGCGAUCUUCUCAUGCCUGACUUGCACCCUAGAUGGGAAUGCUGGGGUGCGCACAGCGUGUUUGCGAUGAUAGCCAUGAGAUUGUGGAAAUUCAAAAUUUGGGGAUUUCUGCUGUAAGCUUUCCCCAAAUAAAGAUAUAGAAAAUGUGGAGAAUUUAUAAAACCAUAACUUCAAAGGUUCAUACUGCAUGUGCGGUCGCCCGUAUCCUGAUCCAGAUGUUGAGGAACAAAUAGAGAUGAUUCAAUGAUGUCUAUCUGAGGACUGGUUUCAUGAGGUGCAUAUUGGUCUUGAGUCUUCUGAUGAGAUUCCACGAAAUGACGAAGGAGAGCUUCGUAUGAGGAUUUCUUCUGCCAGGCGUCCAGAGUAGUUUGUUCUUUCUUGACCAUUUAUCAUCAAACCAUUUAGGCAGUGGUUAGGCAGCAUCAUGCUACAAAUACAACCAAAGAAAAAGGUGGGUUGGAAGAUAAUCCUUCGGCUUGUGAAUCCUUGGGGAAGCCUGAGAAUGGCAUUUGUUCUCUCGACUCUUCUCCCAAAUUGGACUGCGCUGAAACUGGUGCUAAUUCUGAAGCUGUGUGCAAGGAAAAGGGUGCACUUGUAGAACAUGCUGAGAAAGAUAUGGUAUCCAAGCCUCCAAGGUGGCAGUCCAAGUGCGAUAUGUGUCCUUGGACUUGGUGUUAAUCUGGUUGUAGCUACCCCUGUUUUAGAAAAGAGUAAAUCAAAUGUUUCUUUCAAAAAAUUGGUGAGACAUUCUUUGCGGAUGUGAGCAAUGUGCAGAUUUCUACAAGCAGAAGAAAAUUGGUUUUUUUGCUCGACAGAGAGGACUGACUCAGUUGUGGAGUAUGAGAAAAUGGCAAAGCAGAGAAGGGACGAAAAAUUGCAGCAACAAGAGGGUGUCGAGUUAAACUUUCUCAACAAACUUGGCCACGUAGAGGAAAUGGAGGUUCUGAAAUGGCAUUGCUGACAUGAAGAAUGAGAUUGAUCAUGCUUUCCUGGUAUGUCCUUGGUAUUUGAAAGUUCAGUGCUUGAUUAGCAUCUCCCACACUACUUUUAUUGCAGAAAGAUACAGACAACAAUAUAUAUAUAUAUAUAGACACACACACGCGCGCGCGUGUGUGAGUGUGCAUAGUUAGAUGUUUGAAAUUUAAAAUAUUUACGUAUCUAUGUAUAAAUUUAAAAUAAUAAUUAUUUGCCAAUGUUGUCUGCAUGUAUCAACUCUAAAUUCCUCUUCAAAUCUCAUUGUCGUCAAACAAUGAAUCCAUUUUUCUUAUCAUAGUUAAUGUACUACAUAAAGAAAUCACGUUAACAGGAACU